rnacentral:rRNA from 1 species
AAGCAGCCAUCCUUGAAAGAGUGCGUAAUAGCUCACUGGUCAAGUGAUUCCGCGCCGACAAUUCAGCGGGGCUCAAGCCGUCCGCCGAAGCUGUGGCGUCCGCGCGUGUGCCGGGCGCCGGGCCUUGUGUCCGGUGCCGGGCGUGUGGAUGGGUAGGGGAGCGUUGUGCGUGCCGUGAAGCGUCGGGGUGACCCGGCGUGGAGUGCGCGCGAGUGAGAAUGCAGGCAUGAGUAGCGUUUUGACGGGUGGGAAACCCGUCCGCCGAAUAUCCAAGGGUUCCGGGGUCAAGUUGAUCUGCCCCGGGUGAGUCGGGUCCUAAGGCGAGGCCGACAGGCGUAGUCGAUGGUUGACGGGUUGAUAUUCCCGUACCGGCCCAGCAACGGUCCUGUCGAAUCGGGUGAUGCUAAGCACGCGAGAUGUCUCCGGCGCUUUCGGGUGCCGGUGGCGUCGAGUCUGUGAACCGAGUCUGUAGUAGACAAGCUGCGGAGGGACGCAGGAAGGUAGCUCGACAGCCGUCAUGGUAAGGCUGUCAAGUCUGUAGGGUGACUGGUAGGCAAAUCCGCUGGUCGUGUGCCUGAGAGAUGAUGAGAGGGGCCCUGUCAGCAGGGUCCGUGUUCGAGUGAUCCUAUGCUGCCUAGAAAAGCUUCGUGAGCGAGUUGUUGUGCCGCCCGUACCCCAAACCGACACUGGUGGAUAGGUAGAGAAUACCGAGGCGAUCGAGAUAAUCGUGGUGAAGGAACUCGGCAAAAUCCUCCCGUAACUUCGGGACAAGGGAGACUUGAGGCGUGAGGGGCCCGCGCGGCCCUCAGCGCCGGGAGUCGCAGUGAAUUGACCCAAGCGACUGCUUACUAAAAGCACAGGUCCGUGCGAAGUCGUAAGACGAUGUAUACGGACUGACUCCUGCCCGGUGCUGGAAGGUCAAGGGGAACCGUCAGCCUCUCGGCGAAGCGGUGAACUUAAGCCCCAGUAAACGGCGGUGGUAACUAUAACCAUCCUAAGGUAGCGAAAUUCCUUGUCGGGUAAGUUCCGACCUGCACGAAUGGAGUAACGACUUGGGUACUGUCUCCACCACGAGCUCGGUGAAAUUGCAUUACGAGUAAAGAUGCUCGUUACGCGCAGCAGGACGGAAAGACCCCGGGACCUUCACUACAGUUUGGUAUUGGUGAUCGGUGCGGCUUGUGUAGGAUAGGUGGGAGACUGUGAAGCGGCCACGCCAGUGGCCGUGGAGUCGUCGUUGAAAUACCACUCUGGUCGUUCUGGUUGUCUAACCUCGGACCGUGACCCGGUUCAGGGACAGUGCCUGACGGGUAGUUUGACUGGGGCGGUCGCCUCCCAAAGAGUAACGGAGGCGCCCAAAGGUCCCCUCAGCCUGGUCGGCAACCAGGUGUCGAGUGCAAGUGCACAAGGGGGCUUGACUGUGAGACGGACACGUCGAGCAGGGACGAGAGUCGGGACUAGUGAUCUUCUGGUGGCGUGUGGAAGCGCCAGAACUCAACGGAUAAAAGGUACCCCGGGGAUAACAGGCUGAUCUUGCCCGAGCGCUCACAGCGACGGCAUGGUUUGGCACCUCGAUGUCGGCUCGUCGCAUCCUGGGGCUGGAGUCGGUCCCAAGGGUUGGGCUGUUCGCCCAUUAAAGCGGCACGCGAGCUGGGUUAAGAACGUCGUGAGACAGUUCGGUCCCUAUCCGCUGCGCGCGUAGGAAUCUUGAGAAGGGCUGUCCUCAGUACGAGAGGACCGGGACGGACCAACCUCUGGUGUGCCAGUUGUUCCUCCAGGAGCAUGGCUGGUUGGCCACGUUGGGAAGUGAUAACCGCUGAAAGCAUCUAAGCGGGAAGCACGCUUCAAGAUGAGGACUCCCACACCAACAAGGUGGUAAGGCCCCCUGCAGACCACAGGGUCGAUAGGUCGGACGUGGAAGCACAGUAAUGCGUGAAGCUGACCGAUACUAAUAGGCCGAGGGCUUGCCAC